rnacentral:rRNA from 1 species
UACCAGCUCUCCGAGUGGUAGGGAUGAUUAUUGGGCUUAAAGCGUCCGUAGCCGGCUUAGCAAGUUUCCUGUUAAACUCAGCGACCUAAUCGUUGAAUCGCGGGAAAUACUACUUAGCUAGGAGGCGGGAGAGGUCGACGGUACUUCCGGGGUAGGGGUGAAAUCCUAUAAUCCCGGGAGGACCACCAGUGGCGAAGGCUGUCGACUAGAACGCGCUCGACGGUGAGGGACGAAAGCUGGGGGAGCGAACCGGAUUAGAUACCCGGGUAGUCCCAGCUGUAAACGAUGCGGGCUAGGUGUUGGGGUGGCUACGAGCCACUUCAGUGCCGCAGGGAAGCCAUUAAGCCCGCCGCCUGGGGAGUACGGCCGCAAGGCUGAAACUUAAAGGAAUUGGCGGGGGAGCACCACAAGGCGUGAAGCUUGCGGUUC